rnacentral:rRNA from 1 species
AACGAACGCUGGCGGCAGGCCUAACACAUGCAAGUCCAACGCACCGCAAGGUGAGUGGCGCACGGGUGAGUAACACGUGGGAAUGUACCCUUUGGUUCGGAAUAACGUUUGGAAACGAACGCUAAUACCGGAUGAGCCCUACGGGGGAAAGAUUUAUCGCCAAAGGAGCAGCCCGCGUCUGAUUAGGUAGUUGGUGGGGUAAAGGCCUACCAAGCCGACGAUCAGUAGCUGGUCUGAGAGGAUGAUCAGCCACACUGGGACUGAGACACGGCCCAGACUCCUACGGGAGGCAGCAGUGGGGAAUAUUGGACAAUGGGCGCAAGCCUGAUCCAGCCAUGCCGCGUGAGUGAUGAAGGCCUUCGGGCUGUAAAGCUCUUUCGCACACGACGAUGAUGACGGUAGUGUGAGAAGAAGCCCCGGCUAACUUCGUGCCAGCCGCCGCGGUAAAAC